UCCUCCAAGGCUAAAUACUCCUGACUGACCGAUAGUGAACCAGUACCGUGAGGGAAAGGCGAAAAGAACCCCGGCGAGGGGAGUGAAAAAGAACCUGAAACCGUGUACGUACAAGCAGUGGGAGCACCCUUUGGGUGUGACUGCGUACCUUUUGUAUAAUGGGUCAGCGACUUAUAUUCUGUAGCAAGGUUAACCGAAUAGGGGAGCCGGAGGGAAACCGAGUCUUAACCGGGCGUUAAGUUGCAGGGUAUAGACCCGAAACCCGGUGAUCUAGCCAUGGGCAGGUUGAAGGUUGGGUAACACUAACUGGAGGACCGAACCGACUAAUGUUGAAAAAUUAGCGGAUGACCUGUGGCUGGGGGUGAAAGGCCAAUCAAACCGGGAGAUAGCUGGUUCUCCCCGAAAGCUAUUUAGGUAGCGCCUCGUGAAUUCAUCUCCGGGGGUAGAGCACUGUUUCG
rnacentral:rRNA from 1 species